rnacentral:rRNA from 1 species
UGGGGAAUAUUGCACAAUGGGGGAAACCCUGAUGCAGCGACGCCGCGUGAGCGAAGAAGGUUUUCGAAUCGUAAAGCUCUGUCCUAUGAGAAGAUAAUGACGGUAUCAUAGGAGGAAGCCCCGGCUAAAUACGUGCCAGCAGCCGCGGUAAUACGUAUGGGGCGAGCGUUGUCCGGAAUUAUUGGGCGUAAAGGGUACGAAGGCGGUCUAUUAAGUCAGGUGUGAAAGCGUGAGGCUUAACCUCAUUAAGCACUUGAAACUGAUAGACUUGAGUGAAGGAGAGGAAAGUGGAAUUCCUAGUGUAGCGGUGAAAUGCGUAGAUAUUAGGAGGAAUACCGGUGGCGAAGGCGACUUUCUGGUCUUUUACAGACGCUCAGGUACGAAAGCGUGGGGAGCAAACAGG